UCCUUAUAACAUUCAGCUAGACAUAAUAUCGGUUUGACUUUGACGAAUCGCUGUGUUCGAAGCUUAAAACGGGUAGGGCACAACUGAUUUAUUGUGUCACGAAGUCUAAAAUAGUCAUAGGAAGGAAGGUCAAUACUCUUGUGCGUUUCGCAUUGUAAAGACAAAAACUCUGGAGGCGCUAUCGUGAUAACUAUUGGAGUUACGAGGUCUAUAUCUACAUCCAUUCUACGGACUACGCACUCGUAGUGCAUGAUUUAUAGUAAAGUGAGAUAAAG